CCUACGGGUGGCAGCAGUGAGGAAUAUUUGUCAAUGGACGAGAGUCUGAACCAGCCAAGUAGCGUGAAGGAUGACUGCCCUAUGGGUUGUAAACUUCUUUUAUGUGGGAGUAAAAUGUUCCACGUGUGGGAUUUUGUAUGUACCAUAUGAAUAAGGAUCGGCUAACUCCGUUCCAGCAGCCGCGGUAAUACGGAGGAGCCGUGCGUUAUCCGGAUUUAUUGGGUUUAAAGGGAGCGUAGGUGGUUUGUUAAGUCAGUUGUGAAAGUUUGCGGCUCAACCGUAACAUUGCAGUUGAAACUGGCAGACUUGAGUACAGUAGAGGUGGGCGGAAUUCGUGGUGUAGCGGUGAAAUGCGUAGAUAUCACGAAGAACUCCGAUUGCGAAGGCAGCUCCCUGGACUGCAACUGACGCUGAGGCACGAAAGUGUGGGUAUCAAACAGGAUUAGAUACCCCAGUAGUC
rnacentral:rRNA from 1 species